UAGGGAAUCUUCGGCAAUGGACGGAAGUCUGACCGAGCAACGCCGCGUGAGUGAAGAAGGUUUUCGGAUCGUAAAGCUCUGUUGUAAGAGAAGAACGAGUGUGAGAGUGGAAAGUUCACACUGUGGCGGUAUCUUACCAGAAAGGGACGGCUAACUACGUGCCAGCAGCCGCGGUAAUACGUAGGUCCCGAGCGUUGUCCGGAUUUAUUGGGCGUAAAGCGAGCGCAGGCGGUUAGAUAAGUCUGAAGUUAAAGGCUGUGGCUUAACCAUAGUACGCUUUGGAAACUGUUUAACUUGAGUGCAAGAGGGGAGAGUGGAAUUCCAUGUGUAGCGGUGAAAUGCGUAGAUAUAUGGAGGAACACCGGUGGCGAAAGCGGCUCUCUGGCUUGUAACUGACGCUGAGGCUCGAAAGCGUGGGGAGCAAACAGGAUUAGAUACCCUGGUAGUCCACGCCGUAAACGAUGAGUGCUAGGUGUUAGACCCUUUCCGGGGUUUAGUGCCGUAGCUAACGCAUUAAGCACUCCGCCUGGGGAGUACGACCGCAAGGUUG
rnacentral:rRNA from 1 species